rnacentral:tRNA from 1 species
CUCUCUGUAGCUCAGUUGGUUAGAGCACUGCACCGGGAUCGCUGGGCCGCAGGUUCGAUUCCUGCCAGAGGGC